rnacentral:rRNA from 1 species
CCUACGGGGUGCAGCAGUGGGGAAUAUUGGACAAUGGGCGAAAGCCUGAUCCAGCCAUGCCGCGUGUGUGAAGAAGGCCUUCGGGUUGUAAAGCACUUUCAGUGGGGAAGAAAGCCUUGGGGCUAAUACCCUCGAGGAAGGACAUCACCCACAGAAGAAGCACCGGCUAACUCCGUGCCAGCAGCCGCGGUAAUACGGAGGGUGCGAGCGUUAAUCGGAAUUACUGGGCGUAAAGCGCGCGUAGGCGGUCUGAUAAGCCGGUUGUGAAAGCCCCGGGCUCAACCUGGGAACGGCAUCCGGAACUGUCAGGCUAGAGGGCAGGAGAGGAAGGUAGAAUUCCCGGUGUAGCGGUGAAAUGCGUAGAGAUCGGGAGGAAUACCAGUGGCGAAGGCGGCCUUCUGGACUGACACUGACGCUGAGGUGCGAAAGCGUGGGUAGCAAACAGGAUUAGAUACCCGGGUAGUC